UUCUCUGCAAGGCAGUGGAACAGUGUGCUGGCGAGUUUAGAGCGGAGACUUUGGGGCAAGACAGAAUGGGGUUUGAUCCUGGCUCCUCUACUGAUUAGCCAUCUGACCCGUGACAAGACACUUAACUUCUGUUGUCUCAGCUUCCUCAUCUGUAGAACGGGUUAGGGAAAAAAAGUACCAGCUUGGGGGUUGUGAGGACUACAAUACGUGUACAGGGAUCAACAGAGGUUCGUAGUGUGUACUUAGUGCUUAACGAAUGGAGGGGAUGUCUUCUAAAUUUCUUGUCACCUGCAGGUACAUUUCUCUUGCAGAUUGUUAGGAAAGCAUUGCUCUUCGUAAAGGAAGAUUACCCACUUACGCCUCCCAGCGCUGGGAUCCGACUCUCCACAUUGGGUCAAGGACUCUCCACAUUGGGUCAAGGCCGCCCAGUGGGCCAACCCUGUCCUCAGGCUGGAGGGGCCUAGGAACUGCAGCCGUUGUUGUCCCCAGGAGGCAUCUGUCAGCCUCCCCACAGGGUGCCUGCCAACCAAACAGGAGGAGCAGGGCCCAGCACCCGCAACACCAUCAAGCAGCUGACCCACCUUUUCCCCUCCGUCCCAGGACAGAGGUCAUCGUGGGAAAUACAGAGUUUCAAAUCAUCCACAGUGAAACCAAAAGGAAAAAAGUCCACGCUCAUGUUUUGUCUUAGCUCCUCUGGGGAGGCACCAAAGACAGAUGCUUGUGGAGUCCACCCCUGCCGAGCUGAUCCCGGCACAGGCCGCCUGGGUUCCUUGCUGAUGUCCUGGGACAGUUUCCUCUUCCCCCACCUUCCUGUUUGCCUGCAAGGCCAUCCAAAAUGUUGGUUUCCUGAGGCAAAGCAUCCUUCUCCUGGGGGGACUGGGUACAAUAAAACAGCUGCCUCCCAAGAACCUUGCAAAGAUCGAGCGAGAUGGGGUGGGUCAAAGCAUGAACUUGAGAGCACCUGCAGCUGUGAGUUCUGACAAUAAAGAUGCACGUAUGUGCAUGCAACAAUAAUUAGCACUGUGGCACGUCUCUCACUUUUAAGAAUGCGACAUAUUACAUCAUUGACACUGGCCAACAAAGCAUAUGGUCAAUUGAGUUAAUUCACAAAAAUAGCUCAG